rnacentral:lncRNA from 1 species
GGAUACACCGGGAUAUACAGUGGGAUACAGUGGGAUAUACUGGGAUACAUCGGGAUAUACAGCAGGAUACACCGGGAUACAGCGGGAUAUACAGUGGGAUAUACUGAGGGAUACUGUGGGAUACAGAGGGAUACACCGGGAUACACCAGGAUACACCAGGAUACACCGGGAUACAGCGGGAUACAGCGGGAUACACCCCGGGAUACACAGGGAUACAGCGGGAUACAGCGGGAUACAGCGGGAUACACCCCAGGAUACAGCGGGAUACAGCGGGAUAUACCGGGAUAUACAGUGGGAUACAGUGGGAUAUACUGGGAUACAUCGGGAUAUACAGCAGGAUACACCGGGAUACAGCGGGAUAUACAGUGGGAUAUACUGAGGGAUACUGUGGGAUACAGAGGGAUACACCGGGAUACACCAGGAUACACCAGGAUACACCGGGAUACAGCGGGAUACAGCGGGAUACACCCCGGGAUACACAGGGAUACAGCGGGAUACAGCGGGAUACAGCGGGAUACACCCCAGGAUACAGCGGGAUACAGCGGGAUAUACCGGGAUAUACAGUGGGAUACAGUGGGAUAUACUGGGAUACAUCGGGAUAUACAGCAGGAUACACCGGGAUACAGCGGGAUAUACAGUGGGAUAUACUGAGGGAUACUGUGGGAUACAGAGGGAUACACCAGGAUAUACACCAGGAUAUACUGGGAUACACCGGGAUAUACAGCAGGAUACAGCGGGAUACACUGGGAUGCACUGGGAUACAGUGGGAUACACCGGGAUACAGUGGGAUACACCGGGAUACACGGGAUACAGUGGGAUAUACAGCGGGGUAUACUGGGAUACAGAGGGAUACAGCGGGAUAUACAGUGGGAUACAGCGGGAUACACCAGGAUACACUGGGAUAUACCGGGAUACUCUGGGAUACAGCGGGAUAUACACCGGGAUACAGCGGGAUACAGCGGGAUACACAGGGAUACACAGGGAUAUACAGCGGGAUGUACUGGGAUACAGAGAGAUACACCGGGAUACACCGGGAUAUACAGUGGGAUAUACACCGGGAUACAGCGGGAUAUACUGGGAUACAGCGGGAUAUACUGGGAUACAGCGGGAUACACGGGAUACAGCGGGAUACAGAGGGAUACACCGGGAUACACCAGGACACAGCGGGAUAUACAGUGGGAUAUACUGGGAUACAGCGGGAUACACUGGGAUACAUGGGAUACAGUGGGAUACACUGGGAUACACAGGGAUAUACAGCGGGAUACACAGGAUACAGCGGGAUACACCGGGAUACAGGGGAAUACACAGGAUAUAUAGCGGGAUACAGCGGGAUACAGCGGGAUACAGUGGGAUGCAGUGAGAUAUACAGCAGGAUAUACUGGGAUACAGCGGGAUACAGUGGGAUACAGCGGGAUACUCUGGGAUACACUGGGAUACACCGGGAUACACAGGGAUACACAGGGAUAUACAGCGGGAUACAGCGGGAUAUACAGUGGGAUGCACCGGGAUACAGUGGGAUACAGGGAGAUACACCGGGAUAUACCGGGAUACACAGGGAUACAGCGGGAUACAGAGGGAGAGGGAUCCACAGGGACAGGGACACACCGGGACGGGGACAGAAGCCUGGAGGGGCCGGGGGAGGCUGGAGAGGAUCAAGGAUUUGGGGGGGAUCGGGGGUGUCCCAGGGAUCGGAGGGGAUCCAGCAGAUCCCGGGGGUGUCCCUG